GGGGCCGUCAGAUAGCUUGGUCUAGUCUGCGAGGCUCCAGACCUCGUCGCCUGGGUUCAAAUCCCAGCGGCCCCA
rnacentral:tRNA from 1 species